GGGUAAGGGGGCUGGUGACUAUCCACUGGGAGGAAGCUCUGCCCACCCAAUUGUGUAGAUUUCCUGAGAAGGAAUGAAUAGGGUAUAGAAACGACACGGUUCUAAGAAAUAUGACUAUGAUAUUUUCAAAAUUGAGGAUUCUUAGAAAAUCGAUGAAACGACCUUAUUUUACACGGGUGCAAGCAUAUGUGCUAAGCUGAAUGUCACCGAAAUUACAGAAGGCAGGCUAUAGCCCCCAUACCC
rnacentral:RNase_P_RNA from 1 species